rnacentral:rRNA from 1 species
GAUGAACGCUGGCGGCGUGCCUAAUACAUGCAAGUCGAGCGAACAGAUAAGGAUCUUGCUCCUUUGACGUGAGCGGCGGACGGGUGAGUAACACGUGGGUAACCUACCUAUAAGACUGGGAUAACUUCGGGAAACCUGAUCUAAUACCGGAUAAUAUUUCGAACCGCAUGGUUCGAUAGUGAAAGAUGGUUUGGCUAGCACGUAUACAGGGACCCGCGCCGUAUUAGCUAGUUGGUAAGGUAACGGCUUACCAAGGCGACGAUACGUAGCCGACCUGAGAGGGUGAUCGGCCACACUGGAACUGAGACACGGUCCAGACUCCUACGGGAGGCAGCAGUAGGGAAUCUUCCGCAAUGGGCGAAAGCCUGACGGAGCAACGCCGCGUGAGUGAUGAAGGUCUUCGGAUCGUAAAACUCUGUUAUUAGGGAAGAACAUAACUGUAAGUAACUGUGCACGUCUUGACGGUACCUAAACAGAAAGCAACGGCUAACUACGUG